rnacentral:lncRNA from 1 species
AUUGGCCGUCAGUGAGGGUUGGCACUUCCACUGUCAGCUCGUGGGUUGAUGACUACCUUAUCCAUGUUUUUGUCUGUAAACGUGUUCCUUUUUUUCUCUUUUCUUUUUUGUUUUGCAAGACGAUGGAGUGAGAUUCUUUUUUUUAGGCUACAGGGUUGCAGUUAGAACGAUGGUCGCUUUUGAUUGUUUGUUGGAAUUGAAUUUAGGGUUAUGGUUGGGUGUGUCAUGCACCACUUUAGUUCUAACAUGGUGGACAUAUGGAUGGUAAGAUGAUUUUGCUCUACUUUUUGUUUUUUGUUUCUUGGAGUCUUCUGAGUAAUUACUGGGUGUUCUAGAUUUUCUUUUUGGCUAGGUGUUUGGUGGCUGUGUGACUCUUGCUGAUAGAAUUAGGAUUAAAUGGAAUCAUACAACAAAGGCUUUUCGGUACAUGGUAUUGUUUAGGGGUAUCUCACAGAAGUUGUUGAUGUAGUGGGAUGUUUUUUGGCUGGCUGGCAAUGACAACAUGGUUCGGUGAAGGUGGAGAUGGCAAUGUGGAUGUGACAGUGUGUUAAAAAUGGUGAUGAAGCUUUGCUCGAUUUUUCUUUGUGUUUCUUGUGGCUUUCGGUGUGUGGCUUUGGGGUUUGAUUGUGGGUUGAUGGUAGACUGGGGCUGGAUAACUAUGCAAAGAGUAUUCUACUGGCAAUAGGUUUCUAAGGACCUUAUUGAUAUUCCUAGGAAUCACUCGAUUUUCUUUCUUUUUGUUAUUGCCCUCCAUGCAGUGUAAUGGUUGCUACUUAAAUAGG